AAGCGACUGAGCGAGAGGGCGGGGCAGCUGCUGCCUGUGAGUGCGCUGUUGUAGAGACGGAGCCAGCCAUACUAAGGAGAGCUUAAGUUUGACCAGUUCUUACCCUCCCCGACUAAAUCGGUUUCAGUUAUGUACUGAAAUAUAAGAAUGGACAUUAGAGGCUUCUUUCAAAGAAAAAACUCAGGUAAAUGUUAUUUUAUAUAUUAUGCUUUGUAUGUUGUUCAGUAUAUUUCUAUGCAAAACAAGAGGGAUUUCAGUACACAGCAGGAUAUUCACAUUUGGUUUUUUUUGUUUUUUUUCCCGAUAUUUUUAUUAAAGUUUUUGCAUCGACUUUUACAAAAGACAAAUUGAACAAUAUGCCGUUUUCUUUUUAAAGAACAUAAAGCAAUAUAAGACAUACACUCCCACCUCAUAAUUAUAGCAGUACCAGUGGGUGUACAAACAGGAAAAGGAAAAAAAUCCAAUCUAAUAAUACUAGUAACAAACCCUAGGGUACAAGACAACAGUUCCUGAGUGUACAAGGGAGAUGUGGAGAGUAUCCAAAACCCCCACCUCCACACAGACACAUAAAAACCAAAACACACAAACAAACAAAAAACAAACAAAAAAAAAAAAAAAACCACACAUGAUAAAUGGUCAGCUUAGUUAUAGGGAUAAAUCAAUUCUGUUAGAGAAAAGAAAUAUGUAUAAAGUAGUUAAAUAAAUACCAUCAUAGAACGCAGGCACAAUAGAAUCCAUAUACUUAAACUUAGGCCUCUUACUUGAACAUAAGAUAAGAAAAAAUAAAAUAUGAUAGAGUCUGAACUGGCUAAUUGGGAGCAUUGCGAGACCGCAAAGUCUGAACAUGAUCAAAAAAGGGUUGCCAGGUCUUAAAAAAUUUGGCCGUAGACCCGCGCAGGGUGAAUUUAAUCUUUUCGAGUUUGCUAAAAUGCAGAACGUCUCUGAUCCAGAUUUCCCAGGAUGGGGCAGAAGGGGACUUCCAACAUAGCAAUAUUCUGCGUCUUGCCAAUAAGGUGAGAAAUGCGACCAGAUCCGCUUGAG
ensembl:lncRNA